ensembl:lncRNA
UCAGCAAUCCUCUGUGAGUUUCCAUAUGAGAUCCAGGAAUUCAAAUGACCUGGUCAGGAUGAGUUCACUCACUGUGAAUUUUCUGCCAUUUGCAGUCUUGCUAGUAAAUCCACCUUACCAGGAAUGAUGUUCUAAUAUGAGGAAUAGUCCAGUAUUAGGAAAAGAAUAAGGGGGCUGGGUAUAAAAAUCACCCAGCUUUUGUCUCUGGGUUUAUUUAUACUCCCAUUAUUUAUACUCCAUUAUAACUAGCCAUUUGUGUGUAUAUUCCUGCUUUAAUUUAGAUAAAUAUUUAUAUAUAUAUAUAUAUUCUGUCCAUCAUACACUAUAUUUCUAUCAUCUUCUGCUUUACCAAGUAGCAGUCAUGUUAGUAGUACUAGAUGUUAACAGCAUACCUCAGCAACUAAUGAAUGACAUAACAGAUAAACGAGAAGUGUAUAUAUGAUUCUUUUCAUGACAGUGAUAGGAAGAUUAGAUUAGAAAUUAUGAAGUCAUCAGAUAAAUAAUUCUUUGAAUUGCGUUCUGACAGAUGCAUGGGGGUUUCCUUGAUAAGAUUAAUCUCUCAGCCUCCCCUGGUCACCCAAGGAGCUAGGUAUCUUUGAUCCAAGGAAGGCUGCCCUGUCAAAGAGUAGCACUAUUAAGGAAGGCUGUGCAAGAGACUAAGGUUAGACAGGUUCGAAAGAACCAGGCUUAUGAAGCAGAGUAGAGCGGCAUGUUAGAAACACCACUUGAUCCGUUGGGGAAGUUAGUCCUAUACAUCAUCAGUGUAGCAGAGAUGAACUCCCAAAGUGUUCAGACAUGUUAGGAUAUCCAUGGCAAGUUGAAAUGAGAGUUCAGCUUCGCAGUGAGAAGGGGUUGCCAUGGGCCAAGCAUCAGACCAAAUGCAAGCGGACACAGUGCCAGGAAGUCACCUAUCUCGAAUGAGUCUUUCUGCAGCCCCACCCUCUCACUGGGACUGAAGAGACAGGAAAAGCUUAGUUGAAGACUUCAGAAUUCCAUCAGAGGAAUUUACCUCUUUCUCUAACAAAGAGAAGAACAGAGGCACAUUUUCACAGGCUGCUAAAGAAACCACCAGGGGAAGAAUUAUUACAAAAUGCCAAAACAAUUCUGGGAAAAUGGCGAGGGGGGAGCAUUUUAUGUUGUAUUGUAGAUAACUACAGGCGAAUGUUCUCUAUACAUGGCUUCUAUGUCUCCUGCUUUGCUCAGCAGAUUGAAUACUGUGUUCAGUCUUCCCACCGUUCUGAUUUCAUUCAUUCAUUCCCUCUCUUGUACUGACCCUUAAGAAUUUUCAGACAACCUUGUUUUUCAACCACUCCCUCCCCUCCCCCACCCCAGUUAUCCAAAUGUAGACACCACCCGGUUUUUCUAUCCCUUCAAUGGAUACCAGAGACUGGUGUAGUGAUCAGAACAACUGUUAGAUAAUAAUACUACCAUUAACUUGCAUGGAUAUAAAAUUUCAAAGGUACCAGUCCCCAAUAUCUGCUUCAUUCCCACCACAGAGCCAUCUCUAGCCAGAGUUUUCUUGACUUUUUUGCUUGGUCAGACCCUUUAAUGCGUUGUUUCUUAUGAAUGGCCCAAGUAGGCAACAGCGUGAAGAACUUUUGUGAGACUAUCUUGAAAUGGAAGGGCUUAAGAAAGGGUAGCGCUCCAGCCACUGUGACGGCAUGCUCCCAGGCUGAGGUAGUAGGUUG